GAAUAGACAACGCAACAUCAAGAUAAAAACAAAGAAAGAAAUUAUUGGAUUCAAUAUUAAUUUUCUAGAACACACAUAUAGUAAACAUAUAACACGAAAACAUAAAAGAUAAAUAAGAAGAACAACGCAAAAUUUGAGAGAAUAGGGAAUAUGGAGAAAACUUAUCGAAGAACUAAUUCCCAAUAAACUUCUCUUGACAAGGGGAAACCUAAAAAUUCUACCCUUACGCUUAAAGCAAUGUAGAGAAAGGAGUAGAGAUCAAAUUUUAAAACCACAAUGUACUUGAAAGUAAAUAAAAUUUUUUUGAUAAGAAACUAAAGAAAUGAAAAAUAGAAAACACAACAUAGAGCUCUAAAAAAAACAAUGAAAUCAAAGGAUUGAAAAUUCAUUAUCUACUAGAUACACGCAGUGAACAAAUAACACUCAAAUAUAAAAGAGAAGAAUAAAGAACAAUGCGAAAUGGAGGAGAAUAGGGGAUACGGAGAAAACUUACCUGACAAGUAUUUUCAAACAAACUUCUCCUUUCCUCGGGAAACCUGAAAAUUCUACUUUCACGCUUACCUAACAAGUAUGUGUACUAGAAAAUUAAUUUUGAAUUCGUUAAUUUCUUUAUUUGUUUUUUAUCUUGAUCUUGCGUUGUCUAUUCCUCAUUUCUUUAGUUUUGUACCUGCAUAAUUUGAUUUUCUUUCAAUGAUAUUGUUCCUUAAGAGUUAAUUUUGUUAUUCUCAUUUUUACGUUUGAUUAAGCGUAAGGGUAAAAUUUUCAAGUUUCCCGAGGAAAAGUGAGGUUUGUUUGAAAAUACUUGUCAGGUAAGUUUUCUCCGUAUCCCCUAUUCUCCUCCAUUUCGCAUUGUUCUUCAUUCUUCUCUUUUAUAUUUGAGUGUUAUUUGUUCACUGCGUGUAUCUAGUAGAUAAUGAAUUUUCAAUCCUUUGAUGUCAUUGUCUUUUUUAGAACUCUAUGUUGUGUUUUCUAUUUUUCAUUUCUUUAGUUUCUUAUCAAAAAAAUUUUAUUUACUUUCAAGUACAUUGUGGUUUUAAAAUUUGAUCUCUACUCCUUUCUCUACCUUGCUUUUAGCGUAAGGGUAGAAUUUUUAGGUUUCCUCUAGUUCAGAGAAGGUUAUUAGGAAUUAGUUCUUCCAUAAGUUUUCUCCAUGUUCCCUAUUCUAUCAAAUUUUGCAUUGUUAUUCUUAUUUAUUUUUUAUGUUUUCGUGUUAUAUGUUUACUAUAUGUGUGUUCUAGAAAAUUAAUAUUGAAUCAAAUAAUUUCUUUCUUUGUUUUUAUCUUGAUGUUGCGUUGUCUAUUCCUCAUUUCUUUAGUUUCGUAUGGGCAGAAUUUGAUUUCCUUUACAACAUAUUAAGCCUUAAGAGUUAAUUUUCUAAUUCUCGUUUUUACAUUUGAUCUCUACACUUUUCGCUACCUUCUAUAAGCGUAAGGGUAGAAUUUUCAAGUUUCUCGAGGUAAAGAGAAGUUUAUGGGGAAAUACUUGUCAGGUAAGUUUCCUCCGUAUCCCCUAUUCUCCUCCAUUUUGCAUUGUUCUUUAUUAUUCCCUUUUAUGUUUGAGUGUUAUUUGUUGACCGCUUGUGUGUAGUAAAGAAUUAAUUUUCAAUCCUUUGAUUCCUUUGUUUGUUUUUAAAAGCUUGAUGUUGUGUUUUUUAUUCCUUAUUUCUUUAGUUUCGUAUCAGAAUAAUUUGAUUUAUUUUCAAGGACAUUGUGGUUUUAACAUUUGAUAUCUACUCCUUUCUCUAUCUUGCUUUAAGAAGAAUGGUAGAAUUUUCAGGUUUUCCGUGGUAAAGAGAAGUUUAUUGGGAAUUANNNNNNNNNNNNNNNNNNNNNNNNNNNNNNNNNNNNNNNNNNNNNNNNNNNNNNNNNNNNNNNNNNNNNNNNNNNNNNNNNNNNNNNNNNNNNNNNNNNNAACAGUGCAAAAUUUGAGAGAAUAGGGAAUACGGAGGAAACUUAUUCAAGAACUAAUUCCCAAUAAACUUCUCUUUACCACGAGAAACCUGAAAAUUCUACCCUUAUGCUUAAUGCAAGGUAGAGAAAGGAGUAGAGAUAAAAUGUUAAAACCACAAUAUCCUUAAGAGUAAAUAAAAUUAUUCGGAUACGAAACUAAAGAUAUGAGCAAUAGAAAACACAACAUUAAACUUUUAAAAACAAACAAAGGAAUCAAAGGAUUGAAAAUUAAUUCUAUACUACACACAAGCGGUCAACAAAUAACACUCAAACAUAAAAGAGAAUAAUGAAGAAGAAUGCAAAAUGGAGGAGAAUAUGGGAUACGGAGGAAACUUACUUGACAAGUAUUUCCUCAUAAACUUCUCUUUACCUCGAGAAACUUGAAAAUUCUACCCUUACGCUUAUAGAAGGUAGCGAAAGGUAUAGAGAUCAAAUGUAAAAACGAGAAUUACAAAAUUAACUCUUAAGGCUUAAUAUGGUUGAAAAGGAAAUCAAAUUUUGCCGAUACGAAACUAAAGAAAUGAGGAAUAGACAACGCAACAUCAAGAUAAAAACAAAGAAAGAAAUUAUUGGAUUGAAUAUUAAUUUUCUAGAACACACAUAUAGUAAACAUAUAACACGAAAACAUAAAAGAUAAAUAAGAAGAACAACGCAAAAUUUGAGAGGAUAGGGAAUAUGGAGAAAACUUAUCGAAGAACUAAUUCCCAAUAAACUUCUCUUGACAAGGGGAAACCUAAAAAUUCUACCAUUACGC
rnacentral:lncRNA from 1 species